CAAGAUUUGCUUGUAUUGGCAGAUGAAAACAUAAAAGAAAACACUAUUUGGUGCUGAGCUCUGAGAGAUUUCAAAGGAAUGAGAAAAGAAAGCGUCUGCAUUUUCUGUUAAUUCAGUGCAAAGGUGUUCCCACCAACUCUUGGCUCCCAAAGUCAAUUGAACAGGAAUGUUCUGGAUACUAAAAUAACCAGUCUUGAUCACUCUCUGAAGCAAAACAAACAAAUGGACACAACAGAAGAAAAAUGAUAGCAGAGAAGAUCAAAAAGAGCGCUGAUAAGAGUUUUCUUUGGUGAGAACUGUUCAUAUUGGAACAUGGCAUUUUGUCAAAUGUCAAGAUUUUCAUGUAAAUUUGUCAUUUUAAACAAACCUUCAUUGCAAAAUCUGUGUGGCUCCAGGACAAAAGAUGAGGAGAGGAAGAAAAAUACCAG
rnacentral:lncRNA from 1 species